CGGACGGGUGAGUAACACGUGGAUAACCUACCUAUAAGACUGGGAUAACUUCGGGAAACCGGAGCUAAUACCGGAUAAUAUUUUGAACCGCAUGGUUCAAAAGUGAAAGACGGUCUUGCUGUCACUUAUAGAUGGAUCCGCGCUGCAUUAGCUAGUUGGUAAGGUAACGGCUUACCAAGGCAACGAUGCAUAGCCGACCUGAGAGGGUGAUCGGCCACACUGGAACUGAGACACGGUCCAU
rnacentral:rRNA from 1 species